UACGUAGGGGGCAAGCGUUGUCCGGAAUCAUUGGGCGUAAAGAGCGUGUAGGCGGUUCGGUAAGUCGGCUGUGAAAGUCCAGGGCUCAACCCUGGGAUGCCGGUCGAUACUGCCGGACUAGAGUUCGGAAGAGGCGAGUGGAAUUCCCGGUGUAGCGGUGAAAUGCGCAGAUAUCGGGAGGAACACCUAUGGCGAAGGCAGCUCGCUGGGACGUUACUGACGCUGAGACGCGAAAAGCGUGGGGGAGCAAACAGG
rnacentral:rRNA from 1 species